rnacentral:tRNA from 1 species
AAAGUUUUAAGUUAAAUUUAAACUAUUAACCUUCAAAGUUAAAUAUAUGUAUAAUAAGCAUAAGCUUUA